rnacentral:rRNA from 1 species
UACGUAGGGUGCGAGCGUUGUCCGGAAUUAUUGGCGUAAAGGGCUCGUAGGCGGUUUGUCGCGUCGGGAGUGAAACACCGGGCUUAACUCGGUGCUUGCUUUCGAUACGGGCAGACUAGAGGCAUGCAGGGGAGAACGGAAUUCCUGGUGUAGCGGUGAAAUGACGCAGAGUAUCAGGAGGAACACCGGUGGCGAAGGCGGGUCUCUGGGCCGAUACUGACGCUGAGGAGCGAAAGUGUGGGAGCGAACAGG